UUAGAAGCUACUAAGAGCUUACGGAGGAUGCCUGGGUAUCAGUCAGCGAUGAAGAACGUGGUAAGCUGCGAUAAGCUUCGGGGAGUGGCACACACACAAUGAUCCGGAGAUUUUCGAAUGGGGAAACCCGCCGCUAUAGGCGGCAUGGCAAAGUGAAUUCAUAGCUUUGCACAAGCGAACGAGGGGAAGUGAAACAUCUCAGUACCCUCAGGAACAGAAAUCAAAAGAGAUUUCCCAAGUAGCGGCGAGCGAACGGGAAACAGUCUAAACUUCUUAUAUGUUAAAGGUUUUGGCCGUUGUAUAAGAGGAGUUAUAGGACUUUCAUGGACUGCCAAAAAAGUCUAACGAAGUUACAAAAUAAAAUUUUAGCUUAAAGGUCUGGAAAGGCCUGCCAGAGAAGGUGAUAGCCCUUUGAGCGAAAAAGUUUUAUCUUCGGAAAGGAUCCUAAGUACCACCGGGCACGUGGAAUCCGUUGGGAAUUUGGGGAGACCACUCUCCAAGACUAAAUAGAACUGAUGACCGAUAGUGAACAAGUACCGUGAGGGAAAGGUGAAAAGAACCCCGAAAGGGGAGUGAAAUAGAACCUGAAACCGUGAGCUUACAAGCAGUGGGAGCACUAUUGUAUAUCAAGUGUGACCGCGUACCUUUUGCAUAAUGAGUCAGUGAGUUAUUGUUGCCAGCAAGGUUAAGCCGUGAGGUGAAGCCGCAGCGAAAGCGAGUCUGAAAUGGGCGACUUAGUUGGUAGUAAUAGACCCGAAACCCGGUGAUCUAUUCAUGGCCAGGAUGAAGCAUGGUUAACCCUAUGUGGAGGUCCGAACCAUUGGAAGUUGAAAGUUCCUUGGAUGAGCUGUGAAUAGGAGUGAAAGGCUAAUCAAACUGGGUGAUAGCUGGUUCUCCCCGAAAUAUAUUGAGGUAUAGCCUUGGAUUUUUAUUCUGGAGGUAGAGCACUGAAUGGGCUAGGGGUCUUUACCGGAUUACCGAACCCAAACAAACUCCGAAUGCCAGAUAUAAUUAGUCCAGGAGACAGUCAUGGGGUGAUAAGGUCCUAUGACGAGAGGGAAAGAGCCCUAACCGUUGGUUAAGGCCCCUAAAUCUGUUGCUUAGUGUAAAACGUUGUGAAAUUACUCAGACAGCUAGGAGGUUGGCUUAGAAGCAGCAAUCCUUUAAAGAAAGCGUAAUAGCUCACUAGUUCAGUGAAUUUGCGCGGAAGAUUCAAGGGGGCUCAAGCACAGUGCCGAAACCACGGGUUUGUAUUUUUAAUACAAGCGGUAGGGGAGCGUUAUAGCGUAGGUUGAAGGUUGACCGUGAGGACAGCUGGACGAACUAUAAGUGAUUAUGCUGACAUAAGUAGCGUUUAAGAGAGGUGAAAAACCUCUCCGCCGAAAACUCAAGGGUUCCUGGGCCAGGUUCAUCCUCCCAGGGUUAGUCGGGACCUAAGGCGAGGCCAAAUGGCGUAGCCGAUGGACAAACGGUUCAUAUUCCGUUACCGGCAUUGUUAUAUAAUAUAGGAGUGACGAACUAAGUACUUCCAGCCUGUUAUUGGAUUCAGGUGUAAGCGUGCAAGGGGUGGUGUAGGUAAAUCCGCAUCACAACUCUCAGGCGUAAAGCGAGAGGAUUUAUCCUCAUAAGUGGAAAGAGCUAUGGUUCCUAGAAAAGCUUCGAUAUGUUUUCAAUGUCGCCCGUACCGUAAACCAACUCAGGUGAGUGGGAUGAGUAUUCUCAGGCGAUUAGGUUAAAUCUAGUUAAGGAACUCGCCAAAUUAACACCGUACCCUCGGAAGAAGGUGUGCCUCUUGUGGUGAAGUCCCUCGCGGACGUAGCUGUGGGAGGUCGCAGUGACCAGGGAGUAGCGACUGUUUACCAAAAACACAGGGCUGUGCUAAAUCACAAGAUGACGUAUACAGCCUGACGCCUGCCCGGUGCUGGAAGGUUAAGAGGAUUUGUUAGCUCUCGAGCGAAGCGGAAAAUCGAAGCCCCAGUAAACGGCGGCCGUAACUAUAACGGUCCUAAGGUAGCGAAA
rnacentral:rRNA from 1 species